rnacentral:rRNA from 1 species
GAGUUUGAUCGUGGCUCAGAUUGAACGCUGGCGGCAUGCCUUACACAUGCAAGUCGAACGGCAGCACGGGAGCUUGCUCCUGGUGGCGAGUGGCGAACGGGUGAGUAAUGCAUCGGAACGUAUCCUGGAGUGGGGGAUAACGUAGCGAAAGUUACGCUAAUACCGCAUAUUCUGUGAGCAGGAAAGCGGGGGACCUUCGGGCCUCGCGCUCUUGGAGCGGCCGAUGUCGGAUUAGCUAGUUGGUGAGGUAAAGGCUCACCAAGGCGACGAUCCGUAGCAGGUCUGAGAGGAUGAUCUGCCACACUGGAACUGAGACACGGUCCAGACUCCGUACGGGAGGCAGCAGUGGGGAAUUUUGGACAAGUGGGGGCAACCCUGAUCCAGCCAUGCCGCGUGAGUGAAGAAGGCC